GACGAACGCUGGCGGCGUGCUUAACACAUGCAAGUCGAACGGAAAGGCCCUGCUUUUGUGGGGUGCUCGAGUGGCGAACGGGUGAGUAACACGUGAGUCACCUGCCCUUGACUUUGGGAUAACUUCAGGAAACUGGGGCUACUACCGGAUAGGAGCUCCUGCUGCAUGGUGGGGGUUGGAAAGUUUGGGCGGUUGGGGAUGGACUCGCGGCUUAUCAGCUUGUUGGUGGGGUAGUGGCUUACGAAGGCUUUGACGGGUAGCCGGCCUGAGAGGGUGACCGGCGACAUUGGGAAUGAGAUACGGGCCAGACGCCGACGGGAGGCAGCAGUGGGGAAUAUUGCACAAUGGGCGGAAGCCUGAGGCAGCAACGCCGCGUGCGGGAUGACGGCCUUCGGGUUGUAAACCGCUUUCGCCUGGGACGAAGCGUGAGUGACGGUAAUGGGUAAAGAAGCACCGGCUAACUACGUG
rnacentral:rRNA from 1 species